AAAAAGAAAUGGAAAAGAUGGAAAAUGAAUUAUUUCUUUAUAAAUGGAAAUAUGAAGAACUGAGGCAAACCAAACUGGAAAGCCUGAAACAGCUGGAAAGAAUGCAGUGGGAGAAUACUUCUGAAUGGGGAAAGAGAGAACGACCUGAAGCAGAAAAGCACAGUUUAGAAGAAGAGACUAGAAAACUGAAAUUACAGAGCAAGGAGGUGGAAGAAAGUGAACACAGGAUUUGGGACCAGACGAAGUUCCUUGUAUGUUGCUGGAGAUUCUCCCAAGACAGUGAGUGAAGAUGCAGGAGAUCAUCAAACAGCCCUACCAGCAGCAAGACCAGCAGCAAAGAGGAAGAGCAAACAACUUAUAUUCUUCAUAAAGACUUACAUGAAAAUGUAAUUGAAGAAGUGCAUGUUGGACAUAUAAAGGAACACUGCAUGCAUUAUUUUUAUGUAUUCUUGAUUUUUUUAUAGGAACAAGGGAAACAAUAGUGUCAGUGGGUACAAAUUUAGAAUUUUUGUUGGCCAUUAUCUGUCCUUCCUUUCUAGUUGUCUUAAUGGCUCUCUUCUAAAGUAAAAUGUGGAUUUGAAUUAACAUGUCCUAUAUUUUAUCUUUGGGGAAAAGUACUUUAGAAUGUGCAUGGCAUAGCAGAGAGGUUCACAUUCUGUCCUGGAAAGACAAUGAGUCUGAAGUAGAAGUCAGUGGUUUGCUUCUUGUUUUGCUCUUGCAUUUUGCUUUCAUAUAGCAGUGAGCAAAUACAUCUGUACUUCAGGUCCUCCUGCAAAUUAUUGGAAGCUGAGAUCUAUAUGUUUUUCUGACCCACCCUGAACUUUUGUCUGCUGCUGGAGAUGGAAUUCUAAAGCAGAAAGAUCUGUGUUUUGACUACCUUCAUACUUACUUAACCAUCCUUCGUGUCUAUAAAUGCUGAUCUAAUCCCAGUCAUUACCUCUCAGGAUAGACUAAGGGAUAUACAAUGAGGGAAUAUUGUCUUUUUC
rnacentral:lncRNA from 1 species